UGAGGGACCCAGGACAGGAGA
rnacentral:miRNA from 1 species